rnacentral:rRNA from 1 species
AAAGGGUGCGUAGGCGGCUUGUUAAGUCAGAGGUGAAAGGCGGUAGCUUAACUAUCGGAGUGCCUUUGAUACUGAUGAGCUUGAAUGCAGCUGAGGUAGGCGGAAUGUGACAAGUAGCGGUGAAAUGCAUAGAUAUGUCACAGAACACCGAUUGCGAAGGCAGCUUACUAAAGUGUGAUUGACGCUGAGGCACGAAAGCGUGGGGAUCAAACAGGAUUAGAUACCCGGGU